GAUGAACGCUGACAGAAUGCUUAACACAUGCAAGUCUACUUGAUUCUACUUCGGUAGUUGAUGGUGGCGGACGGGUGAGUAACGCGUAAAGAAUCUGCCCUUUAGUUCGGGAUAACCUUUGGAAACGAAGGAUAAUACCGGAUAUUAUGGAGACGUCGCAUGACGAUUUCAUGAAAGCUAUAUGCGCUAGAGGAGGACUUUGCGUCCCAUUAGUUAGUUGGUGAGGUAAUGGCUCACCAAGACCGCGAUGGGUAGCCGGCCUGAGAGGGUGAUCGGCCACAAGGGAACUGAGACACGGUCCUUACUCCUACGGGAGGCAGCAGUGGGGAAUAUUGGACAAUGGGCCACAAGCCUGAUCCAGCAAUUCUGUGUGCACGAUGAAGGUCUUCGGAUUGUAAAGUGCUUUCAGUAGGGAAGAAAAAAAUGACGGUACCUACAGAAGAAGCGACGGCUAAAUAUGUGCCAGCAGCCGCGGUAAUAC
rnacentral:rRNA from 1 species